rnacentral:rRNA from 1 species
UACGGAGGGUGCGAGCGUUAAUCGGAAUUACUGGGCGUAAAGCGUGCGUAGGCGGCCCGCUAAGCCAGAUGUGAAAGCCCCGGGCUCAACCUGGGAACUGCAUUUGGAACUGGCGGGCUAGAGUUUGGUAGAGGGGAGCGGAAUUUCAGGUGUAGCGGUGAAAUGCGUAGAUAUCUGAAGGAACACCAGUGGCGAAGGCGGCUCCCUGGACCAGAACUGACGCUGAGGUACGAAAGCGUGGGUAGCAAACAGG